ensembl:lncRNA
GGUUCCGGGGCCAGGGAAUCUAACCAUCACCACAGCAGCAACCCAGACCACAGCAACAACAAAGCCAUAUCCUUAACCCAAGCCACCAGGGAACCCCAUUUGCUGUCUCCCUCUUGGGCCCCAUUUCUCAAGUGCAGAAUCCCUUCUCUGGUUUCCAGGAGCUAUGGGAAAACAGAAAGGCCUGGGGAAAAAAAUUAGAAUUGGGAGCUUCUCCUACAUACCUUCCUAACCCAGGCCAUGGCAUUGGUGAGCAAGCCACCUACUCCAUUAUUUCACAUUUAAAUGUCUUUAUUUAAUACAUAUGUCACCAGUAAGAAAGUUUCACAAUUCUUGAUGUGUUUCAAUACUCAGAAACUAAAUCACCAAUAAGAAAUUGAAAUUUUGGUUAUAUAAACAAACCAAAUAUUAAUAGCCUUUUAGGGUUUGUCAGUAUGUAUAUUCUUUCGUAUUCAUAUGAAUACAGAUAUUUUAAAAUUUCUCUCUUGAAAGCACGCUAAACUUUAAUGGCCCACUCAGGGCUUAUACUAUCCUUGUUUUGUCAAACACAGCUUUUCAUAAGCACUUUGGGGAGUUAAAAGACCUGUUUCUAGGGGUCCCUGUUUUCAGCUGAAUCUUUAACAGUGAUUAAUUCCUAUUUUAGUCUUUCACAUGCUUGUGUAAUAUACAGACGCCUUUAAAGAAAAAAAUCCUGGGAGUUCCCUGGUGGCUCAGUGGGUUAACGACCUGCACUGUCAUGGCUGUGGCUCAGGUCACUGCUGUAGCUCAGGUUCAAUCCCUGGUCCCAGAACUUCCGCAUGCCAUGCACAUGGCCAAAAAUUGUUUUUAAAAAAAAAAAAAAGAAAAAAGAAAGAAAGAAAAUUCUGAAAGACCCCUUGUGUUCACUUAAUGUUCAAAUAUAAAACUACUAUAGGAGUUCCCGUUGUGGUGCAGUGGUUAACGAAUCCAACUAGGAACCAUGAGGUUGUGGGUUUGAUCCCUGGCCUUGCUCUGUGGGUUAAGGAUCCGGUGUGGCAGUGAGCUGUGGUGUAGGUCGCAGACGCAGCUCACAUCCCGAGUUGCUGUGGCUCUGGUGUAGGCUAGUGGCUAUAGCUCCGAUUCGACCCCUAGCCUGGGAACCUCCAUAUGCCUCAGGAGUGGCCCUAGAAAAGGCAAAAAGACAAAAACAAAAAAAAACAAAAAAAACCCUACUAUAGUUUUUAUGACAUCAUAGAGCCAAAACUAAUCUGUGCAUUAAAUACAAUUUUAAAACCAACACAAUUCAACUUUCCAACAUGAAUUUAAUAAGCAGGAUAAUGUAAAGUUUGCUAAAACUACAUCACCACACGUGCUGUGAAUGGGAAAACGGCCACCACUACAGGGCAGAAACAUUCAUUUGAGCAGGCUGCCCUAACAACCCUGGAUCUUUACAUGGUGUGAUGGGCUCACUCACGUAUCCAGUCCAUCUCCGUUCUUUCCUGAGAGUUCACUACUACAGUUAAAACACUAUCAUACAAUCUGAAACUAAAUCGUCAUAAACAUGGCAUUGGAUUGAAUGGUAGUGACCAAUGGUCCUCCAGCUCAUCCAGAUAUGCCGAUCCAAGGGCUUUAUUUAAUCGCUAAUGAGUUUCUCCUGAGAGCCUACUGCCUUGCUAGACCCUCUCUUACAGCUGUUCCAUGGAGAGAUAGUGAUCCCUCUCCCCAAAGACCUACGCCCCCACCCCAUGGGGAGAGAGAGAAGCAAGGAACUCAGUGACAGGCAUCAUGAAUAACAUGGAGCAGGGUGAGCAGAGAGCAAGGUGGUGGUGAAGGUUCCUCUGAGAUCUGGUGGGCAAAGGAGGUCCCUCGGAGAAGGGCACAUCUGAUUUCAAAGAGAAGAUGAGAUCUUUGCCAUCAUUGCUCACUGGGCAGAGACAACGGCAAGUUGGACAAUCAGCAGGAAAGGCAAGUGGCCAGAAAACAGAUGGAGGCAGCAGGGACGGGAGGGAAGAGCAGUGAGCAGGAGCCAAACUGUGGGGUCUGUGGGCCUCAGUAAGACCCGGGGUCUUACCCAAGUGGGGUGGGACGUCACCACUAAGAGUCAAGACAUUCUUCAAAGCCAGGGCCUGGGAGUUCCCUUCAUGGCGCAGUGGAAACAAAUCCGACUAGGAACCAUGAGGUUGCAGGCUCCAUCCCUGGUCUCACUCAGUGGGUUAAGGAUCUGGCGUUGCCGUGAGCUGUGGUGUAGGUCGAAGACUGCUCGGUUCUGGUGUUGCUGUGGCUAUAGUGUAGGCCGGCACCUACAGCUCCAAUGCAACCCCUAGUUUGGGAACCUCCAUAUGCCAUGGGUGCCGCCCUAAAGAGCAAAAACAAACAACAACAACAACAACAAACAAAGCCUGGAUGAGCUCAGCUAGGAAGUAACGCAGGUAGAGAAGAUGAAACCAGAGCUCAGCGCAGCCCUGCAGUGCGCCCUAUGGACCCGCAAUAACUGCAUCACGGGGAGCCUGUAAGAAAUGCAAAACCCUGGGCCCCAUCCCAGACCCGCUGAAUCAUCACCUGCAUUUAACAAGAGCCACAGGAGGGUCUAGGCCCCGGCACCCCCACACGGAGGAGAAGACAAGGCACAGGCAAAGACAAGUGAAAAGGAGCAGCCAGUGGGGACAGGAGGAACUGGGAGAGGGUAGUGGCCUGGAAGCCACAAGAGCCUGGUGUUUCUGAAAGGAAGGGGUACUCAGAUUAGCCAAACGCUACUAAUCAGCAGACAAAGAAGGGAUGGAGAGCAAAGGUGACCUGGACGAGAACUUUGUCACUUCAGUGGAAGGCACGGAAGCCCCACCAGAGUGGGCUAACUCCACAUUAUUCAAAGCCAGGGCCUGGGAGUUCCCAUGGUGACACAGUAGAAAAAUAUCCGACUAGGAACCAUGAGGAGAGUGUUAACUACCACAGAAAUUAAAACACAAAAAUAAAAGGAAGGUAAUCAUAGAAAAUGUACAUGCCUCCCUUGCUCACCCCCAACUCUCCCUUCCACCCCAAUAAAAAGUAUCUGCUGUGUUUUGUUUCCUCCUCAAGGAUGUACUGGCUGCCGAGGCAGGAGGUGUUUGCAGUGGGAUGCAAAUAAAAAUGCAUAACCUGGUAUUCACGCUCAAAGAAUUCCAAGCCAGACCUUACCUAAUUUUAUGGAAUAUUACUUUUUUCCCUCCCUCUGGCAGUCGCCUAUUGUCCCGUGUUGCAGCUGAACCUCUAAGGGUGUGCCAAGAGUAGCUCAAGAGGUAUGGUCUGCAUGCAAUUAGCAGCAACUAGAGAAGUGUAUGGAAAUUCCUCUUACCCCGAGAAUGCCCGUAAAGACUUUGAGAAAAGAAUCCAACCCAGAAAAAAGUCACUCCUUUCCUCCUUCUGUACAAAAUCCCUUUACCUAUCAAUGCUCACCCCCACGCCCAUCUCUCUUCUACUCCAGGUGGAGGGGGACCUACGCAGAAUCACAUUCUGAAGGUACAAAGGCUUUCAGAGACCAUCUAACACACCGCCAACUCCCAUUAGAUGUGCCACUUUCAAAGCUCCUUAGUUCCAAGUUUUGUGGAUCAUCCUCUCUCCCCAUCACCUCUCCUCAGCCAGAAACGGGCAGCAGCACGUCCAAUUCACCUUUCUCCACCUCCACUCAGUACUAAUGUUAGGUCCUAUGCCCCAACUCUGUCCUACUGCCGCACAGUAUGCAACAUGGGAUCAGUUCUUUAGUGUGCAAAUGAUGAUGAUGAUGAUGAUGUAAUUACCUGUUGUUAAAUACUCAGACUAUGUCCCAAAUACCCUUCUAAAUGUUUGUGUAUUGAACAUUAACCUACUCUGAACAGUCAAGUCCGAAACUAACGUCUAGACAUUAGCCUCAUGUUGAACAUUAACACAUACGCAUUAAUUGGGAUGGUUAACUGACGACCACAUCGAAAAAAAAAUGGCCAAAAGGGAAAGUACCUGCAUGUCUUAGUUUUCCCCUAGGGGCUCAAUUUAGAAAGGUUCUGUAUUUAAAAACCCAAAUGCAAUUUGUUUUCUGGGUAAAUCUGUCCAGAGGGAGCCUCUCUGGGUCACAGCAGUGAAAAUCAUGGUGUCGAAACCUCAAUAUAUUUACCCGGUGCUCUUCAGCUGUCCUCAGGGUGGCAGGAAGCAGACACUCAAACAAAACAGGUGCCAAGUUGUGAGACAAAACAGGCAAUAAAAGCAUCUUUUUUUUUUUUUAAGUCUGGAUACAAAAAAAAAAUUUUUUUUCAAAGAAAAGAGAAAAAAAUGAAGAGGAAGAGGAAGAAACAAAACUGGGAGACAAUGGAAGGAAGUCCCUCCCUGGAAUUUAAGGGCUUUUUGAAAAAAAUCAUGGGCCACACAUUUCUCCCAAGCUUCUGGUUUCUUUUGGUUUCCUACCCCGAGACAGUUCCUAGGACUUCUCUAUUUAUGUGAAGUGAUUAGAUAGUUGUAGGGCAAAUACACAACAACCUGUCUAAAGAACCUUAAAAAAAAAAAAAAGGAGAAACACAAAAAA